GCUAUUUGGUGGANCGUAAUCGUCAAAAAGACGUGCAUAAGUAUAGCAAUAUACUGUGUAUCAACUAUGUUGAAUAAAGUUCUGAAUAGAUAAUUGAUAAUGACAAAUAUUUAUUCAUAUGUCUUGACCAAUGCUUGUGCCAGCAGUCGCGGCAACACAAGUAAGACUAGUGUUAUUCAUCUUUAUUAGGUUUAAAGGGUACCUAGACGGCAUUUUUCACUUCUAAAGGGAAAAAAUUUGCUAGAGUUUUAUGUGAGAGGUAAAUAUCAGGGCUAUUGGUGUAAGGAUGAAAUCUUUUGAUACUGAUAGAACGUAUAACGGCGAAGACAACCCUCUAUGUACAAACUGACGUUGAGGGACGAAGGCUUGGGGAGCGAAUAGGAUUAGAUACCCUAGUAGUCCAGGCAGAAAAUUAUGAAUGUUAUAUAUUAAGUGAAAAAUUGGUGUAUAAAUGAAAGUGUAAGCAUUCCACCUCAAGAGUAAUGUGGCAACACGGGAACUGAAAUCAUUAGACCGUUUCUGAAACCAGUAGUGAAGUAUGUUAUUUAAUUCGAUAACCCUCGAAAAACCUUACCACAAUUUGAAUGAUAUUUGAUGUGCAAAGCACAUCAAAUAUUACAAGCGUUGCACGGCUGUCUAAAGCUAAUGUCGUGAGACUUUGGUUAGCUCCAUUAAAUUAGCGUGAUCCCUUACUUUAUUUACUAAUAAUAAGGUAGUCAACCAUUGUAUUGGAUUUGAUAAUAGGAAGAAGACAAGUCAUC
rnacentral:rRNA from 1 species